GAUGAACGCUGGCGGCGUGCCUAAUACAUGCCAGUCGAGCGAACAGACGAGGAGCUUGCUCCUUUGACGUUAGCGGCGGACGGGUGAGUAACACGUAGGUAACCUACCUAUAAGACCGGGAUAACUUCGGGAAACCGGAGCUAAUACCGGAUAAUAUUUCGAACCGCAUGGUUCGAUAGUGAAAGAUGGCUUUGCUAUCACUUAUAGAUGGACCUGCGCCGUAUUAGCUAGUUGGUAAGGUAACGGCUUACCAAGGCAACGAUACGUAGCCGACCUGAGAGGGUGAUCGGCCACACUGGAACUGAGACACGGUCCAGACUCCUACGGGAGGCAGCAGUAGGGAAUCUUCCGCAAUGGGCGAAAGCCUGACGGAGCAACGCCGCGUGAGUGAUGAAGGUCUUCGGAUCGUAAAACUCUGUUAUUAGGGAAGAACAAACGUGUAAGUAACUGUGCACGUCUUGACGGUACCUAAUCAGAAAGCCACGGCUAACUACGUG
rnacentral:rRNA from 1 species